GGGAGGGAAAUGAAAGGGCCUGACUCAUGACCGGAGGACGGUGACUGGACUGCUGGAGUACACAGGCAAUAAGGCAGCUUCAGGUUCCAUGCCCAAUGUGG